UAGAGUUUGAUCCUGGCUCAGAUUGAACGCUGGCGGCAUGCCUUACACAUGCAAGUCGAACGGCAGCACGGGAGCAAUCCUGGUGGCGAGUGGCGAACGGGUGAGUAAUAUAUCGGAACGUGCCCAGUCGUGGGGGAUAACGCAGCGAAAGCUGUGCUAAUACCGCAUACGAUCUCUGGAUGAAAGCGGGGGACUCGCAAGGGCCUCGCGCGAUUGGAGCGGCCGAUAUCAGAUUAGCUAGUUGGUGGGGUAAAAGCCCACCAAGGUGACGAUCUGUAGCUGGUCUGAGAGGACGACCAGCCACACUGGAACUGAGACACGGUCCAGACUCCUACGGGAGGCAGCAGUGGGGAAUUUUGGACAAUGGGCGAAAGCCUGAUCCAGCAAUGCCGCGUGCAGGAUGAAGGCCUUCGGGUUGUAAACUGCUUUUGUACGGAACGAAACGGUCGCCUCUAAUACGGGUGGCUAAUGACGGUACCGUAAGAAUAAGCACCGGCUAACUACGUGCCAGCAGCCGCGGUAAUACGUAGGGUGCGAGCGUUAAUCGGAAUUACUGGGCGUAAAGCGUGCGCAGGCGGUUAUAUAAGACAGAUGUGAAAUCCCCGGGCUCAACCUGGGACCUGCAUAUGUGACUGUAUAGCUAGAGUACGGUAGAGGGGGAUGGAAUUCCGCGUGUAGCAGUGAAAUGCGUAGAUAUGCGGAGGAACACCGAUGGCGAAGGCAAUCCCCUGGACCUGUACUGACGCUCAUGCA
rnacentral:rRNA from 1 species